AUACGUAGGGAGCGAGCGUUGUCCGGAAUUACUGGGCGUAAAGGGUGCGUAGGCGGCAUGGCAAGUCAGAUGUGAAAUCCCCGGGCUUAACUCGGGAGUUGCAUUUGAAACUGCAGUGCUUGAGUGCAGGAGAGGAAAGCGGAAUUCCUAGUGUAGCGGUGAAAUGCGUAGAUAUUAGGAGGAACACCAGUGGCGAAGGCGGCUUUCUGGACUGUAACUGACGCUGAGGCACGAAAGCGUGGGGAGCAAACAGGAUUAGAUACCCUGGUAGUCCACGCCGUAAACGAUGGAUACUAGGUGUGGGGGAGAUACAACCUCCGUGCCGCAGCAAACGCAAUAAGUAUCCCGCCUGGGGAGUACGGUCGCAAGGCUGAA
rnacentral:rRNA from 1 species